rnacentral:rRNA from 1 species
GACGAACGCUGGCGGCGUGCUUAACACAUGCAAGUCGAGCGGUAAGGCCCCUUCGGGGGUACACGAGCGGCGCACGGGUGAGUAACACGUGAGCAAUCUGCCCAUCACAUCGGGAUAACUCCGGGAAACCGAAGCUAAUACCGAAUACGACCACCUCCGGCAUCGGAUGGUGGUGGAAAGUUCCGGCGGUGAUGGAUGAGCUCGCGGCCUAUCAGCUUGUUGGUGGGGUAACGGCCCACCAAGGCUUCGACGGGUAGCCGGCCUGAGAGGGUGACCGGCCACACUGGGACUGAGACACGGCCCAGACUCCUACGGGAGGCAGCAGUGGGGAAUAUUGGACAAUGGGCGAAAGCCUGAUCCAGCAACGCCGCGUGAGGGAUGACGGCCUUCGGGUUGUAAACCUCUUUCAGCAGGGACGAAGCGCAAGUGACGGUACCUGCAGAAGAAGCACCGGCCAACUACGUG